UACGAAGGGGGCGAGCGUUGUUCGGAUUUACUGGGCGUAAAGGGCGCGUAGGCGGCGCAACAAGUCAGGCGUGAAAGCCCCCGGCUCAACUGGGGAGGGUCACGCGAUACUGAUCGACUCGAAGGCAGGAGAGGGAAGUGGAAUUCCCGGUGUAGUGGUGAAAUGCGUAGAUAUCGGGAGGAACACCAGUGGCGAAGGCGACUUCCUGGCCUGUUCUUGACGCUGAGGCGCGAAGGUCAGGGGAGCAAACGGG
rnacentral:rRNA from 1 species